rnacentral:rRNA from 1 species
CUCAGAGCAGGCAGAAGUCCCCGCUGAAUUAACCUGUUCACCCCCCCUGAGGAAAAAACUCAUCUCUCCCUCUCGCAUUGGUGUCUUGCGCGUCUCGGGCGCGCUCGCGCGCGCGCGGACGCGCGCA